UACGGGGGGGGGCAAGCGUUGUUCGGAAUUACUGGGCGUAAAGGGCCAGUAGGCGGCCAACUAAGUCGGAUGUGAAAUCCCCAGGCUUAACCUGGGAACUGCAUCCGAUACUGGAUGGCUUGAAUUCGGGAGAGGGAUGCAGAAUUCCAGGUGUAGCGGUGAAAUGCGUAGAUAUCUGGAGGAACACCGGUGGCGAAGGCGGGUCUCUGGGCAACAACUGACGCUGAGGAGCGAAAGCGUGGGGAGCGAACAGG
rnacentral:rRNA from 1 species